ACCCGGAAACCCUGGAGACAGGGNUCCCCCUUGUGGUCGGUGUACAGGUGGUGCAUGGCUGUCGUCAGCUCGUGUCGUGAGAUGUUGGGUUAAGUCCCGCAACGAGCGCAACCCUUGUCCCGUGUUGCCAGCAGGCCCUUGUGGUGCUGGGGACUCACGGGAGACCGCCGGGGUCAACUCGGAGGAAGGUGGGGACGACGUCAAGUCAUCAUGCCCCUUAUGUCUUGGGCUGCACACGUGCUACAAUGGCCGGUACAAUGAGCUGCGAUACCGCGAGGUGGAGCGAAUCUCAAAAAGCCGGUCUCAGUUCGGAUUGGGGUCUGCAACUCGACCCCAUGAAGUCGGAGUCGCUAGUAAUCGCAGAUCAGCAUUGCUGCG
rnacentral:rRNA from 1 species